CACGCUUAACACAUGCAAGUCGAACGAGAGAAGAGAAGCUUGCUUUUCUGAUCUAGUGGCGGACGGGUGAGUAACACGUGAGCAAUCUGCCUUUCAGAGGGGGAUACCGAUUGGAAACGAUCGUUAAUACCGCAUAACAUAAUUGAACCGCAUGAUUUGAUUAUCAAAGAUUUAUCGCUGAAAGAUGAGCUCGCGUCUGAUUGGCUAGUUGGUAAGGUAACGGCUUACCAAGGCGACGAUCAGUAGCCGGACUGAGAGGUUGAUCGGCCACAUUGGGACUGAGACACGGCCCAGACUCCUACGGGAGGCAGCAGUGGGGAAUAUUGCACAAUGGAGGAAACUCUGAUGCAGCGAUGCCGCGUGAGGGAAGAAGGUUUUAGGAUUGUAAACCUCUGUCUUUGGGGACGAAAAAUGACGGUACCCAAGGAGGAAGCUCCGGCUAACUACGUGCCAGCAGCCGCGGUAAUACGUAGGGAGCGAGCGUUGUCCGGAAUUACUGGGUGUAAAGGGAGCGUAGGCGGGAUCGCAAGUCAGAUGUGAAAACUAUGGGCUUAACCCAUAAACUGCAUUUGAAACUGUGGUUCUUGAGUGAAGUAGAGGUAAGCGGAAUUCCUAGUGUAGCGGUGAAAUGCGUAGAUAUUAGGAGGAACAUCAGUGGCGAAGGCGGCUUACUGGGCUUUAACUGACGCUGAGGCUCGAAAGCGUGGGGAGCAAACAGGAUUAGAUACCCUGGUAGUCCACGCCGUAAACGAUGAUUACUAGGUGUGGGGGGACUGACCCCUUCCGUGCCGCAGCAAACGCAAUAAGUAAUCCACCUGGGGAGUACGACCGCAAGGUUGAAACUCAAAGGAAUUGACGGGGGCCCGCACAAGCAGUGGAGUAUGUGGAUUAAUUCGAAGCAACGCGAAGAACCUUACCAGGUCUUGACAUCGUAUGCAUAGCUCAGAGAUGAGUGAAAUCUCUUCGGAGACAUAUAGACAGGUGGUGCAUGGUUGUCGUCAGCUCGUGUCGUGAGAUGUUGGGUUAAGUCCCGCAACGAGCGCAACCCUUACUGUUAGUUGCUACGCAAGAGCACUCUAGCAGGACUGCCGUUGACAAAACGGAGGAAGGUGGGGAUGACGUCAAAUCAUCAUGCCCCUUAUGACCUGGGCCUCACACGUACUACAAUGGCUGUCAACAGAGGGAUGCAAAGCCGCGAGGUGGAGCGAACCCCUAAAAGCAGUCUUAGUUCGGAUUGUAGGCUGCAACCCGCCUACAUGAAGUCGGAAUUGCUAGUAAUCGCAGAUCAGCAUGCUGCGGUGAAUACGUUCCCGGGCCUUGUACAAACCGCCCGUCA
rnacentral:rRNA from 1 species